GUUCUAAGGGCGUUGAAGCAUGAUCGUAAGGACAUGUGGAGCGCUUAGAAGUGAGAAUGCCGGUGUGAGUAGCGAAAGACGGGUGAGAAUCCCGUCCACCGAUUGACUAAGGUUUCCAGAGGAAGGCUCGUCCGCUCUGGGUUAGUCGGGUCCUAAGCUGAGGCCGACAGGCGUAGGCGAUGGAUAACAGGUUGAUAUUCCUGUACCACCUAUAAUCGUUUUA
rnacentral:rRNA from 1 species